rnacentral:rRNA from 1 species
AUUGAACGCUGGCGGCAUGCCUUACACAUGCAAGUCGAACGGCAGCACGGGAGCAAUCCUGGUGGCGAGUGGCGAACGGGUGAGUAAAGUAUCGGAACGUACCUUUCAGUGGGGGAUAACGUAGCGAAAGUUACGCUAAUACCGCAUACGAUCUAUGGAUGAAAGCGGGGGAUCGCAAGACCUCGCGCGAUUGGAGCGGCCGAUAUCAGAUUAGGUAGUUGGUGGGGUAAAGGCCCACCGAGCCGACGGUCUGUAGCGGGUCUGAGAGGACGGCCCGCCACACUGGGACUGAGACACGGCGCAGACUCCUACGGGAGGCAGCAGUGGGGAAUUUUGGACAAUGGGCGAAAGCCUGAUCCAGCCAUGCCGCGUGCAGGAUGAAGGCCUUCGGGUUGUAAACUGCUUUUGUACGGAACGAAAAGGACUGCCCUAAUACGGUGGUCCCAUGACGGUACCGUAAGAAUAAGCACCGGCUAACUACGUGCCAGCAGCCGCAGUAA